rnacentral:misc_RNA from 1 species
GCUUUUCUCGUCUCGUCGUCGAUUCAAGGUCAGGCUCUUCAUAGUCUUGUUAAUUUCCUUACUAAUGGCUUCUUUAACCCUCUCUAAUUCCUACAAAGCUCGGGUUUAUCACAUUUUUCCGAGACUUUCACUCCCCUAUUUCCGCAGUCCUCUCCAUUUCUGCACUUCAACCCAAGAUCCAAUCUCCUGUGUCACAGAAAUCCCGCCACCUAUUCCAC